GCAAACUUGCCUAACUGCCCUCCGAAGGCAAAGGUCACACGUUCGAAUCGUGUCGGGUGCGCCA
rnacentral:tRNA from 1 species